AGUCGAGCGAGCGGAACUAACAGAUUUACUUCGGUAAUGACGUUAGGAAAGCGAGCGGCGGAUGGGUGAGUAACACGUGGGGAACCUGCCCCAUAGUCUGGGAUACCACUUGGAAACAGGUGCUAAUACCGGAUAAGAAAGCAGAUCGCAUGAUCAGCUUUUAAAAGGCGGCGUAAGCUGUCGCUAUGGGAUGGCCCCGCGGUGCAUUAGCUAGUUGGUAAGGUAAAGGCUUACCAAGGCGAUGAUGCAUAGCCGAGUUGAGAGACUGAUCGGCCACAUUGGGACUGAGACACGGCCCAAACUCCUACGGGAGGCAGCAGUAGGGAAUCUUCCACAAUGGACGCAAGUCUGAUGGAGCAACGCCGCGUGAGUGAAGAAGGUUUUCGGAUCGUAAAGCUCUGUUGUUGGUGAAGAAGGAUAGAGGUAGUAACUGGCCUUUAUUUGACGGUAAUCAACCAGAAAGUCACGGCUAACUACGUGCCAGCAGCCGCGGUAAUACGUAGGUGGCAAGCGUUGUCCGGAUUUAUUGGGCGUAAAGCGAGCGCAGGCGGAAGAAUAAGUCUGAUGUGAAAGCCCUCGGCUUAACCGAGGAACUGCAUCGGAAACUGUUUUUCUUGAGUGCAGAAGAGGAGAGUGGAACUCCAUGUGUAGCGGUGGAAUGCGUAGAUAUAUGGAAGAACACCAGUGGCGAAGGCGGCUCUCUGGUCUGCAACUGACGCUGAGGCUCGAAAGCAUGGGUAGCGAACAGGAUUAGAUACCCUGGUAGUCCAUGCCGUAAACGAUGAGUGCUAAGUGUUGGGAGGUUUCCGCCUCUCAGUGCU
rnacentral:rRNA from 1 species